rnacentral:rRNA from 1 species
GGCCGCUGAGCGGUUCCUGGAAAUAGCUCCAUCAUGAGAUCGUACCCGAAACCGACACAGGUGGACUGGUAGAGCAUACCAAGGCGCUUGAGAGAACGAUGUUGAAGGAACUCGGCAAAAUACCUCCGUAAGUUCGCGAGAAGGAGGCCCGGGUUCAAGGCAACUUGGAUCCGGGGGCACAAACCAGGGGGUGGCGACUGUUUACUAAAAACACAG